rnacentral:lncRNA from 1 species
ACCUAAUAAAACUGCUGUGAAAGAGUGGAAAUACUCAAAAUGUAAAUAGUAGUAUUUAUUAAUACAAGAGUUAUUUAUUGAAUACCAACUGCAUUUCAGGUGCUAUAAUAGGCAAUAGAAUCAGAAAGUUUUUCCCCUCAGGAAGUUCUUAGUAUAAUAAAAUGAUUCUUAGACUUCAGUAGAAAUAAAAAUCACCUUGGGUGCUUGUUAAGAAUACAUAUGCUCACUAUCUGAUUAUGAAGAAUAUUGGCCUAAUUAGUAAGUCACACAGUAAACAGACAUCUAUAAUACAAAUGGUAAAUUUUAAGAGAUAUACAGAAGUAUUAUCUGGUCACUGAUCUAGACCAAGAGGGAAGGGUAAAUGUCAGCGAUAGUUUUUCAUAAAAAGUGAUACCAACUUGAAUUCCUGAAUAAAAACUAGCCGUUUUCUAGAUGAAGAAAGGUGGUGAAGAGUAUGAAAAGUGGCAUUGAAUUGUGAGAAAGUAUGGCACAUAUGAGGAACCAAGGAAGGUUUCUAGUAUCUGGAAUUUAGGAGUUAAAAGUGAGGCAUAAGGAAAAUAGUGGUAUCCAAAGCUAAAGAGUUUUAUUUUUAUCACCAAAUAAGUGGUGUAUAAGCCAGUUAGAAGGUUACCUGAUAAUUGUAGCAAGAAAUGUGAAUGUUGCUGGGAUAGAGAAAAGAGAAGGGAGAAGGGUUAAAGUGAUUAAAUUGAUGGGAUGAGAAGAAGAAGGUAGUAUGAAGAAUGUCUUCAAGGUUUUGGGUUGAGUCUAUUCAUCUCAUCUCAUUGGUAAUACUGUUUUUUUCUUUUUAAUUGCUGAGACAUUCCCUUUUCCAUUUUAGUAUUUUGUAUUCUAAGUAGCUAAUAUCAUUUGUGACUGCAUGCUAUGUCCAAAUGCUACCCUGACAAACACACUGUCUCACUGCAGAAGAUGCUGUCAAGGCCCUGGCCAUAUCCUCUCAGACCUCUCCAGAAGUCACCUGUAACCUUGGUGAACAGUUCCUAGAAAAACCCAAAGCUUCUUACUUUACACCCUGGAUAUUUCUCAUUGAAGGCUUUCUCUCACCCUGGAGUGUGCCUGACCUGUGCUCAGGAUAAGUCAGAAGUGUCUGACAGUUAAUGCCCCAGGAGCAACUGUCAACCAAUGGGGAAUAGAGAUUGCGGAUAAGUACCCUUCCAAGCUUCCUAGCCUCUUGGUGGAUGAUGCCUAGUAGGAUUCCCUUCCAUGUCUCACUUUAUCACAUCCUCAUCAUGUUUCCUGGGAUCACUUCCCAAAUAAAUGACUUGAACCCAAGUCCUUGGACCCAAACUAAGGUACUCAAUCCUCCCACCAACUAUUACUAUCGCUAUUUUAUAUGUGUGCAGUCUGACGCUUGGAGAGGUUAAAUAAAUUGUCCUUAUCAUUUAGCUGGUAAAUGCUAGAAAGUGAAUUCAAAUCCCAAACCUGUGAUCUCAAGACUAUGCUAUAUUGCCAGUCCCUAAUUCCAAGAUGCAAACCAGGCAUCACCAACUGUGGAGUGAAAUCCAGAGGCAGCCUGUCAGUCUCUAAUGGGCAACAUUGAGACUGAUUACUAUUUUCAGAUUCUGAUCCUUACUGUUACCAAGGCUGAGCCUGAGAUUUACCUGCCAGCAUAUUUCCUCUCUUCAUGCCCACUUUAGAGGAUUGAAAAUCCAUCACAUAGUUUCUUUCCCUUGCUAAGAAUGGUAGUCAUGUAGAAUUCAGAAGCUGAGCAAUUCAUUUUGAAUGAGGUAAAUGUAACAGUGUAAUGACAGAAAGUAGUAUGUUAUAUCAAUUACACACUUUUUUUUUUUCUUUUUAGGGCCACACCCGUGGCGUAUGGAAGUUUCCAGGCUGGGGGUCAAAUUGGAGCUGCAGCUGCCUGCCAAUACCACAGCCACAGCAAUGUGGUGUCUGAGCUGUAUCUGGGACCUACAUCGAAGCUCACGGCAAUGCCAGAUCCUUAACCCACUGAGCAAGGCCAGAAAUUGAAUCUUACAUCCUCAUGGAUACUAGUUGGGUUUGUUCCCACUGAGCCACACGGGGACUCCUACAUUAAUUACUCUUAACGCUUUGCUCUAUUUCUCUAGUUCCCCAUGUUUUCAUGGUUUUGUUCCUGGUUAAGUAUUUGAAGUGGAAGUGAGUGAUCAAAGGAAAGGGGAAACUGGUACUUGAAGUUAUUAAAAAAGUGAUAUAUCCAGAACUAAGCUCAUAUUUUCCUCUUCUUGCCUAUAAUGUCUGACAACCCACAUUGAAACAAAGUAUGGUGGAAGAAUAUUAGAAAUUAGAAGAUCUAACUUCAAUUCCUUUACCAAUUAGCUGGGUGACAUUAAGCCAGUCACACAAAUCAAAAUCAUGGUUGUUAUCCAUAAAAAGAAGGGUUUCAAGUAUGGCUGAUCUGUAAAUUUGCUUCUAGUUUUAACAUUUCUGUGAUUCUAUCCAAUUCUAAUGGAAUACUAGAGUUAUUGGAUGAAGGAGUCUCAACUUUAAAUAUGUUAGUCGACUUUCCUAUUCCUGCCACAUAUUUCGCACUUUCCUAAAUGCAUGCUUUUUCCCUUUGAUUUUCCUUCCAUCUAGAAUGCUUUUGUGGAGUUCCCAUCGUGGCGCAGUGGUUAACGAAUCCGACUAGGAACCAUGAGGUUGCGGGUUCGAUUCCUGCCCUUGCUCAGUGGGUUAAGGAUCUGGCGUUGCCGUGAGCUGUGGUGUAGGUUGCAGACGCGGCUCGGAUCCAGCAUUGCUGUGGCUCUGGCGUAGGCCAGUGGCUACAGCUCCGAUUAGACCCCUAGCCUGGGAACCUCCAUAUGCCGCAGGAGCGGCCCAAGAAAUAGCAAAAAGACAAAAAAAAAAAAAAAAAAGAAUGCUUUUGCUUCUCUUAUAAAAUUUCAACCCAACUUUAAAAAUUAUUUGCCUUAAUGAUUGCAGAAUAAUUGUGCCCUCUUCUGAAUCUUUAAGCAUUUAUUAUCAUACCACUCAUUCAUGUGGCACUUCCCAUUUACAUCACAAGAAAAACUCUGCAAGAGACAUUGCAGAAGUGGCAGAGAAUAUGGGAUUAAUUGCUAGAGAAGUGGUCUGGACUGGAGUUCUCAACGUGGACAAAUCACAUUGAGUUUCUAUAACUCUAUUCCAGUUAGAUCCACACUGGUGUGUCAUAACCCUCCAGGUUGAAUAUAAUUAGUAUAUAAAUGAACUCAAAUAUUUAUACAGGCCAUAACACACAAAAUGAAGCAGUUCAUUUGCAAUAAAAAAAGUCAGGAGGUCUCUGGCAAAAAGAAGAGCACUCAAGUCCCAAACAAAGGGGGCAGCAGUGCCUUGGCAGUGAGAAAGGUGUGGCAUCUGUAAUGCUAAUCUUUGAUUCUUUGAGCUGGAAAUUGAACGUUUUUCUUUGUUCCUAGUUUUUAAAUGUUAGCAGCAAAAUCAAACAUUUUAAACAUACUUUCUGUAGGUCUUAGCUAGUAUGUGGUUUCUGGUCUCUGGUCACCUCCUCCUUAGCCCAUUACUUCCUCACUAUGAUGUUUCCAGUGAGAUUACUCAUCCCGAAGUUACAACAGCUUUGUGACCUAAGAAAAGUAAUUUAACAUGUCGCAGUAUUAGAUUUUUUUUUGCAUAUGAUAUUGACCUCACAGGAUGUGUUAGCAUUAAAGGAGAAAACACCUUAUAAGACCUAGCACAUAGAAAUAAGCAUUCCAUGAAUGUUUGUUCCUACUAUGCUCAAACCACACUGCAAUCUGGCUUCUUCCAUCAACUUGUUAUAGCUUUAAACACCCAUGGGCUAUCUCUUCUUCUGCCAGUGCACAAUCUUCCCCUUGACCGUCUCAGUUUUAACUCUUUGAAUAAGGUGCUUCUCAAAUUGUGUGCAAGUUUUUUAAUGGUAAAGACUAUCCCAAUUCCUGCUCCCUCCCCCACCAACAUUUAAAAAAAUCCUUUUAUUCUGGAAAACUUCAAUCAUACACAAAUGUAGAAAAAUAAUAGUAUAAUCAACCCCUGAGUACUUAUCUAUCUCAACAAUUUUCAAUACCUGACCAGUUUUGUUUCAUCUAUACCCUUAUCAAAUUCCUACCCUCCUACCCUACAGACAUAUUGGGUUAUUUUGAAGCCACCUGUAGACAUCACUUCACCUCAUUUGUAAAUACCUCAAUAUUUACACAGUUUUCUAAGGAAUGUGUAAGAAACAAUGGUUUUGUGGAAAGAUUCUUGGUGAUGACGGGGACGGCAAGCAAGAAGGGAUGGUCUCAUGACAGAGUCAGGUUAAAGGAAGAAAUUCUUUCUCCAAUCACCGGGUAAACCUAUGCAUUUAAAUAGUUUUCUACCUUAUUGUUCUCAUAAUUAGAAGAAAAUUUCAACAUAUAUUUUGAAUCUGAUUUUGCAUAAAUACCUUUUACAUAAAUCUUGAUGGACAAUAGAAAGAUUAUGACUAUUUUAAAUUAAUACAAUCUGGCUUCCAACAACUUUCCACUAAAUGUGAUCUUGCUGAAAUUACCAACUUAGCCAAGUCCAACUGAGUUGACCACUUCCUCCUGCUUGGUUUCCAGCAUGACAUUUACUCCUGGCUUUCCUUCUUUUUCACAUUGACCAUUCCUUUCACAUGCCUAGAUUUGUCUUG